rnacentral:rRNA from 1 species
CCCUUAGAUGUUCUGGGCCGCACGCGCGCUACACUGAUGCAUUCAACGAGUGUACCUUGGCCGAGAGGCCUGGGCAAUCUUUUGAACGUGCAUCGUGAUAGGGAUAGAUUAUUGCAAUUAUUAAUCUUGAACGAGGAAUUCCUAGUAAGCGCGAGUCAUCAGCUCGCGUUGAUUACGUCCCUGCCCUUUGUACACACCGCCCGUCGCUACUACCGAUUGAAUGGUUUAGUGAGGACUCCUGAUUGGCGCCGCCGCCCCGGCAACGGAGCAGCGGACUGCCGAAAAGUUGUUCAAACUUGAUCAUUUAGAGGAAGUAAAAGUCGUAACA